rnacentral:tmRNA from 1 species
GGGGGCGACAUGGCUUCGACGUGGGUAGCGAAACCUAGAGUGCAUGCCGAGGACAGUACACCUCGUAAAAUCUACUGAAACUAAAGUAUUCGCAAAUGACGAAAACUACUCAAUGGCUUUAGCUGCUUAAUAACAGCACCAUUCCUUUGACCAUCUGUGCUUAUGCGGGUGGAG